rnacentral:rRNA from 1 species
UACGGAGGGGGCUAGCGUUGUUCGGAAUCAUUGGGCGUAAAGGGCGCGUAGGCGGCCUGGCAAGUCGGGUGUGAAAGCCCUCGGCUCAACCGAGGAACAGCACUCGAUACUGCCGGGCUAGAGUCCGGGAGGGGAUGGUGGAAUUCCCAGUGUAGCGGUGAAAUGCGUAGAUAUUGGGAAGAACACCGGUGGCGAAGGCGGCCAUCUGGACCGGUACUGACGCUGAGGCGCGAAAGCUAGGGGAGCGAAUGGG